rnacentral:rRNA from 1 species
GCAUAUCAAUAAGCGGAGGAAAAGAAACCAACAGGGAUUGCCCUAGUAACGGCGAGUGAAGCGGCAACAGCUCAAAUUUGAAAUCUGGCUUCGGCCCGAGUUGUAAUCUGCAGAGGAAGCUUUAGGCGCGGCACCUUCUGAGUCCCCUGGAACGGGGCGCCAUAGAGGGUGAGAGCCCCGUAUAGUUGGAUGCCUAGCCUGUGUAAAGCUCCUUCGACGAGUCGAGUAGUUUGGGAAUGCUGCUCAAAAUGGGAGGUAAAUUUCUUCUAAAGCUAAAUACCGGCCAGAGACCGAUAGCGCACAAGUAGAGUGAUCGAAAGAUGAAAAGCACUUUGAAAAGAGGGUUAAAUAGCACGUGAAAUUGUUGAAAGGGAAGCGCUUGUGACCAGACUUGCGCCGGGCGGAUCAUCCGGUGUUCUCACCGGUGCACUCCGCCCGGCUCAGGCCAGCAUCGGUUCUCGCGGGGGGAUAAAGGUCCUGGGAACGUAGCUCCUCCGGGAGUGUUAUAGCCCGGGGCGUAAUGCCCUCGCGGGGACCGAGGUUCGCGCAUCUGCAAGGAUGCUGGCGUAAUGGUCAUCAGCGAC